rnacentral:rRNA from 1 species
AACGAACGCUGGCGGCAGGCUUAACACAUGCAAGUCGAGCGCCCCGCAAGGGGAGCGGCAGACGGGUGAGUAACGCGUGGGAAUCUACCCAUCUCUACAGAAUAACGCAUGGAAACGUGUGCUAAUACCGUAUACGUCCUUCGGGAGAAAGAUUUAUCGGAGAUGGAUGAGCCCGCGUUGGAUUAGCUAGUUGGUGGGGUAAAGGCCUACCAAGGCGACGAUCCAUAGCUGGUCUGAGAGGAUGAUCAGCCACACUGGGACUGAGACACGGCCCAGACUCCUACGGGAGGCAGCAGUGGGGAAUAUUGGACAACGGGCGCAAGCCUGAUCCAGCCAUGCCGCGUGAGUGAUGAAGGCCCUAGGGUUGUAAAGCUCUUUCACCGGUGAAGAUAAUGACGGUAACCGGAGAAGAAGCCCCGGCUAACUUCGUGCCAGCCGCCGCAGUAAGAC